rnacentral:lncRNA from 1 species
ACCGAACAGCAUACAUGCCUACUCUGUCUAAAUGCAUAUGGCCAAAAGAUGUUCACUGUGAAACUAUGAUCAACACAGAUGUCAUCUGGAAAUUGCCCCUGGAUACCAUAUCCUGGUACCAAUCUCUAGCAUGAUUUGGAGACCAGAAUACCCAGUCAGUCAUCUGCUACAGAGAAACUGCAGGUGCAGCUGGAGGACUGGGUGGAGGAUGUCAGAGCAGGAGAAAGCAACUUUAUGUCAACCUCCUAAGGCCCUUGAUGUGGAAGGAACAAUCACUUACACACACACAAAUGAUCAUUGUGAUUCCCAACUACAAGGACCUGCGGUGUGGGAAAGGAAGUUCUGCAUGGAAUUUGAAAGCUGGAUUUACAAGAAGGAGUUGUUUGAAGCCUGCAGAAUGCUGAGGUUUGGACACAUUUCUGAGGGGAGUGGCUUCCUGGUACUCAUGUGGCAUGGCAGAGCCGCCAGACAGCUUGCAGACUGGCUCUGUGAGUGUCUUUUGAACACUGCCUAGUUUCAUAUCGCCUCUGAUCUCAGCAUCACCCCCUCACUUAACAGAAAAGAGUCAUAUGUCUAAGCUCAUUAAAAUGCCCACGUUCACAGAGUCUUUUCAGUGUUUGUGGUUUUACGCAACUGAAAGCAGUAAACCUGUUAAGAGAUCCAUAGAUCCAUGGCUAAGGUCAAGCAAUCACUCACAUGAUACUGUCAGGCAAGGUAGAACUGGUGAUUCAAAGGAACUAGGUAUUUCCUAAUUCAACUUGCUAAAGUGCGGAGUCCAAGCAUUAAGGCUAUUUGAUUCCCUUAACAAACUGGGAAUGAGAUAAAAUUGCCUUCUUUGAUCUUGUUGUCAUUUUAUUUCCUUACCUUGAUGAAUAGCUACAACUUCAAUCCCUCCAUUUUGUCUCAGUGUCCUCCAG